rnacentral:lncRNA from 1 species
AUGAACCUGCUGACCAGGGAAAUGCUGCUUUUGCACCCUCCAUUCACAGCCACCCACCCACUGCCCAGAGGCCACACACUGCGCAAGCCUGUUCUGGGAGCGCUGCAAGCCCAGUAUUCCAUCCCACACCCUUUUGUCUCAGAUGCAGCCUCUGCAGAAUCCAAAGCAGUCAGAACGCUUCACGGACUGUCCAAUCAUCUGGACUUCAGGCUACCUGAGCUGUCAGAAAGUGACCCGCAGAUGGGAAGAGCAGGACAAGGUCCUUCCUAUCAGGAACAACCAAGUGCCUUCCAGGAUGGGGGUAUUUCCCUCUCACAGUCAUCCAUGGCACUCACUCCUCCCUAUCCCUUAGCAUUCCUCUUAGUCUAUGAGCUGAACCCACUGCAAAUCAAGUAACUGGAUUUACAUUAAAUCAGCCUCCCGCCUUAAUUUAUGUGACCUGUCUUGAACUAAGAUUUUUUCCCUUAGGGGUGAAUGAAAGGGGGGAGAGGCUCAGAUGGAAGAAAUAGAAAGAAAUUUCAAGAGACCAGAGACAAUUUUCAGGAAAUGGGCAACCUUCCCACCAAGGAACCUCUGCUUUUCCAUUCUCCAUUCAUGACCACCCACCCAGCUUUCCAGAUGCCAAACAUGGUGCAGGCAUGAUCCUGGAGCACUGCAUGCCCAGUAGCCAAGCCAACUACAUCUGUGUUCAGUUUUCUGCCUCUGCAGAAUCCAAAGGCAGUCACCACUCUUGCCAGCCUGCCCAAGUGUCUGGACUUUAGGCCACCUGAGCUGUCUGAGAGCGCCCCACAGAUGGGAAGGCAGACAGGUGAGGUAAUUAUUCUGGGGAGUCAGUGGUGCUCUGUAUCCUACCCUGCUCCCUAGGCAUGUCCUGGGGGAUCCACCAGCCCCAUCUUCAACUCUGGCUCUGUGCUGGCACAGGCCAAUCCCAAGCACCUCUGGGCUUUGCCGGUGCUCUGGCAACCGUUCUCUCUAAUAACCACUCUGAGGACUUCCUUCUGCCUCCUGACCAAACCCAGGGGUGGACUGCACUAGGGUUGUGCACUUGACAGCUGAUUUCCAACCUACUCUCCCUCUAACGAAAACCACAUCCCGCCUGACAGAGGGCAAUCUGUCUCUCUCUCAAAGUCUCCUGUGGCACUGCUUCCUCCUUUCCCAACACCACUGCUCUACGUCCCUCAGCUGAUCCAUCCCACUUCACGUCAGGUCACCAGCUGGAAAGUCAUCUGCUCACCGUAAAACAUGUGAUCGCCUCUUAGCAAAUGCCCUUUCCCUGGAGAUGAAUGAGAGGAAGCACUGGUUCAGGAAGAAACAUGAAAAGGCACUCGGGGGAGAAAUUUUGGAGAUAUAUCCCAGUGAGGAGCACAGCCUGACCAGACAAAACACUGGUGCUGUU